CAGACAAAUAAUGAUUUAGGCAUUUGCCCUGAGGCAACCUCUGUUAUAAUUGAAUAUAAAAUUGACUGUACACACUUGAAUUUACAGGUACUUGUUGUUCUUUUUUCUUAUUUUCUUUCAGAAAAUGUAUGCAUACCCAGUCUUUCGGCGCCAAUCGGCACCGUUGACCAGGCUUUUCAUGGCGGCGUCGGAGCAGGCAAAGGGCGUGGGAAAAGGGCCAGGGGCCGGAUUCACAAACAUUUUCUUAAGAUAAAACUUACUGAACUUCUUUGUUUUCUGACUUAAGAAGUUCUUCGAUUGUUAACGUAGUAGAGGAAUGCAUGUAAUGUUCAUCCGCGUGCGCUCUUGUUGUUGCUGGAGCAGCGGAGGGGGCUGGCCCCGUUGCUAUGUUACCUGUACUUUGUUGAUGUUUAUGUUUUGGUUCCCGCGGAGAAUAAACCGUUAAUUCUGUGGAGUUACUAUACUACUAUUAUUGAAGAAAUGGAGGACAACAGUGCCAAGCGAAGCAAAAACUUUUCGAAACAGGAGUUGGAGGUGUUGGUGGAGGAGGUUGUUUCAAGGCGAAAAUUAUUAAAUGGGAAGUUGGAUAGUGUAGUGACGGCAGAUAAUAAGAAGAGGGCAUGGGCGAAAGUUGCCCAAUCGGUGUCCGCAGUGGGGGAGAUGGAGCGCGAUGCGAGUGCUAUUCAAAAGAAAUGGGCAGACGUAAAAUCCCUCGUCAAAAAAAGCUGCUGAGAGGGCGUGGGAGAUGAAGAAGACAGGAGGAGGGAUGUCCUCUGUAAAACAGAGGACGGAACGCCUUGGAGGAGAGGAUUUUGGAAGUUAUAGGGGAAUCUCUGGUAGGAGGAGUUCAAGGAGGGGUAGACACUGGAGACCCCGGCGGAUACAACAGCUGUAUGCAGCUUCUACAGCAGAUACUGAACAGCUGGAGCUGCACCCACCCAAGUCAUCGUACCUCCCCACAUUGAACUUGAAGUUCAACAAAAUAAUUCUGACGAAGAUCAUACUCUGUCCCAACUAAUUUCAGAGUCCAUCCUCCAGCCCACACCAGUGACGACACACAGCAUGGAGGACAUGAUCUUCAUUCAGAGAGACCUUUUGGAGAAAGUGCGGCAACUGAGAAGAGUUCAAGAGCAACUUUUACUGGUGGAGAGAGAGAGAAUGCUCUUGGCCAAAGCCAAAUUUCUUUUCUAACUUGAAUGCCGUUAUUACAUGGGGCGGGGACGGGGCCUUCUCCCUCUGGUUCAUGGUUGUCUGGAACAUCAGGAAGAGGCAGCCGGUACAUCAUGCUGAUGUUAUGUAGGAUGAAGGCACAGGUGAUGAUUUUACACCCCUUUUCAGGGGUGUAUUGGAGCACUCCGCCAGAGCGGUCAAUGCAUCUGAAUCUGGAUUCCACAACCCCAAUGCACCUCUCCACAACACUCCUAGUUUUGCGUUGUGCACCUUUUUGAGUGGGAUCCGGAGGACGUUGCUGCUCUUUGCCGUGCCAAGGAGGGUGAGCUGACAGCACAGAGCAUUGGCCACAUCUCAGAGGAGGCGGUGACCACUCGCAUUAGGCGGAGGGAGUUGGCACGGCACUGCAGGAGGAGGGCCAGAGGGGUGGAGGAGACCACCAGACUGAUUGGGUCAUUGAUCAGUCUGUUCGACAGCGACAGUGGGAAGGACACUCUAGGCGUUCCUCUGCUGUACCAACGUAUCCAGCACAUAUGGCCGCAGCAGGAGAAACACGUAGCCUGUAUCCAAGACCUAGAGGACUUCCAGCUCUACACAAAGACAGGCACCCUGAACAAAGGCGGUGUGGAGCUGUGCUGCUA
ensembl:lncRNA